rnacentral:tRNA from 2 species
GGUAAAAAGGCCGGGUAAGCAUUAGACUGUAAAUCUAAAGACAGAGGUCAAGGCCUCUUUUUAGCA